rnacentral:tRNA from 1 species
GCCCCUAUAGCUCAGAUGGAUAGAGCACGGGAUUCCUAAUCCCGGGGGACAGGUUCGAGUCCUGUUAGGGGCA